rnacentral:rRNA from 1 species
UAAUACCGGAUACGUGCGAGAGCAGAAAGAUUUAUCGCCGAAGGAUCGGCCCGCGUCCGAUUAGCUAGUUGGUGAGGUAACGGCUCACCAAGGCGACGAUCGGUAGCUGGUCUGAAAGGAUGAUCAGCCACAUUGGGACUGAGACACGGCCCAAACUCCUACGGGAGGCAGCAGUGGGGAAUAUUGGACAAUGGGCGCAAGCCUGAUCCAGCCAUGCCGCGUGAGUGAUGAAGGCCUUAGGGUUGUAAAGCUCUUUCGCCAGGGACGAUAAUGACGGUACCUGGAUAAGAAGCCCCGGCUAACUUCGUGCCAGCAGCCGCGGUAAUACGAAGGGGGCUAGCGUUGUUCGGAUUUACUGGGCGUAAAGCGCACGUAGGCGGAUCUUUAAGUCAGGGGUGAAAUCCCGAGGCUCAACCUCGGAACUGCCUUUGAUACUGGAGGUCUCGAGUCCGGGAGAGGUGAGUGGAACUGCGAGUGUAGAGGUGAAAUUCGUAGAUAUUCGCAAGAACACCAGUGGCGAAGGCGGCUCACUGGCCCGGUACUGACGCUGAGGUGCGAACCGUGGGGAGCAAACAGGAUUAGAUACCCUGGUAGUCCACGCCGUAAACGAUGGAUGCUAGCCGUUGGGGAGCUUGCUCUUCAGUGGCGCAGCUAACGCUUUAAGCAUCCCGCCUGGGGAGUACGGUCGCAAGA